rnacentral:tRNA from 1 species
CCCUCGGUAGCUCAAUUGGUAGAGCGCUGCCCUCAUAAGGCAGAGGUUGGUGGUUCGAGUCCAUGGCGAGGGAC